AUUCUUAUGCAGUGGAAAGGUUAUUCGAGUUGGCAAACCGGAUUUAUAUGUUGGAACUAAAAGAGGUGUUUUCUGAUAUUAGCUUCAGGAGGAAUGGCAAAGAGCUACUUCAAACAAGAGCAUGAUCUUGAGAAGAGAAGAGCAGAGGCCACAAGGAUUAGGGAGAAAUAU